CACGAGCAGCUCUCCGUGGUGCGCUACUCGCCAGACGGCGCCUUCCUGGCCGUGGGCUCGCACGACAACUUCAUCUACGUGUACAGCGUGGCCGAGGGCGGGCGCCGCUACGGGCGCUUCGGGCGCUGCGCGGGCCACUCCAGCUUCAUCACCCACCUGGACUGGUCCAAGGACAGUCGCUUCAUGGUGUCCAACUCGGGCGACUACGAGAUCCUCUACUGUGAG